GUACGCACCGUUCACCUGUGGUUUUUCCUCUUCAGGUGGCAGCACCUCACCUGUCAUUCGAUUCGGUCGGUGUUUAUUACAAUGGCCAGUGGCCCAAGAAUAGUCCAGAUGGCGGAGUUGUUAAACAUGCGCUUUAGCAGAUCAAGCCAAGGUGAACAGAAGCGGUAUUUUGGGUAUUGGUCGACGUUCGAGACCAAAACAACAACGAGAGAGAUGGAUAACACGGCAUGGCCGCGGGCGAUACGAUAAGAAGGAAGUUCCAAGAAUUGGUAGCGGAUAGCAACACAUCGAUUUCUGAGCCACGGUUAUUUUCAAGCAGCAUCGGUCACGGUGAAGAACUGUUUGGUGUGCAUAGAAGUUUGUGACGAAAGAUGGACGAGAAGACGUACUAUUCGCGAGGAGAAUGGAUCUCCGAGGAGGACGCGACCUCGGGCGAAAUUUAUUCCUCCGGUUUGAUCGAUGAGGAGC